rnacentral:lncRNA from 1 species
GGGAUCUUCCUGCCUGUUUCUUGAACAGCUGGGACUACAGGUAUAGUGUGAAGAUGUGGAGUCUGCAACAUGGCAGCUACUUUUCAACUCUAAUGGAUCAGCCGAAAUCUUCUGAGCGCCACCAAAGAGAGCCUGAGGAUAAAGCAAGCAUGCAGACACCUUGGAAGGUCAAGGGUAGGAAUAAAGAUAAAUGAUGCUGACUGAAUUGCCAGAUCUAGUCCUGCCUGAAUUUAGACCUACAUCUGGAUUUUUCACUUACAUGAAAGAGUAAAU